UUCUUUCUCCACCUUCAACAUGAUGGUGAGAAUUCACUUCACCCUCAACAUUUUGAAUCUGUUCAACCUCCCCAUCUUUCUCUAGCGAGUCUUCAACAAUUCGAUUCAGCAGAUCCUCAGAAUCUGAGUCAAUUCCCAAACUAAAAGAUGGUGCUUUUAUAGCCAUUUUCUUGAAAGCCAUUUUCUUGAAUUAUGCAGAAGAAUAGAAGGAACACUAAGUUUCUCUCUGAACAGCCUUUUUAUAAUAAGUGGAAGAAAACAUUGGCUUGGGCUUCGUGGAGUUACUAUAGAGGGAGAGGAGUAUAGAGAGCCGUUUCAGUUUUUCAAUACAUUCAUUAAAACCUGGUUUGGAGAAUUGCAUUCGCGUGGAAAACUGUGAUGGAAAUUGGAGUAUUAAACUAAGGGCAUUUUUGGUAUAUUAGCCUUAAAUAUGAUGAAAAAAGUCAAUUUUGCUUAUAUUUUGUCACAAGUAAGAUAGUUGAAUUUU
rnacentral:lncRNA from 1 species